rnacentral:lncRNA from 10 species
UGAAUCUGAGUUUCCUUACUCACUGUGCAUUAAAACACAUUUUCUUGUUAACAUUAUAUUAUUUUUAAACUUCUUUGAAAUGAGUUUGGAAGGGAAAGUCAUUUUGCUGAAAGCUUGCACCUUUCUCAUUUGAAUCAAAGGACCGUACUCUGUCUGUUACCAAGCAUCGGAAACACAUGGUGGGGCCAGCUGCCUCAGGUAAGUACCGUGUACUAAGGGAAUUCUUUGCAGAAGGAGAGAUCUGAAAUCAACUGCCAGAUGAGGAAUCAGACAACAGGGGGAAAAAAAAGAGAGAGAGAAGAGUACAAGAAAGAAAUGGUUAGGGCAUCUGAUAGAUAUUGGUCUUGGUGUGAUGACCUGAUGUUGAAGUUAAAACACCACCACCAGCCCUAAAGUUAGGUUCAUGUAAUUUUUAGUUGUGUUCAGUCUUUAUGGGACAAAUUCCAAAUCCUACAAUGGCUUCACUUUGACAGGCCUUUUGUCUAUUCAAACCAUAUUUCUUUCUACUACAGGUUAAUAUUAUUGAAAGAUCAUAUUUUGAUGUUUCUGGUUUCUGGAAAGUUUGUGAGAUCAAAGUAAAUGAAAACCAGGACUUUUAGCUAUGUUCUUACCACCUUUUCAAGAAACUGGGAAAUCUGCCCAUGGACUCUUGGGUUUCUUAAAAACUCAGCUUAAAAAUCAAUACGUUGUUCUCCCUGCUUCAUACUCCCAUGAUGCUUGGUCAUAAUGGUGGAAUCACAGCUAUUGUUCAACUCACUGGAAUUUGGUGGAAGUUGGAAGAGUUUACAUCUCAUAGUAAUCUACAAUUCAAUAAAUGUAAUAAUUGCAUGACAGGAGCUGCUUCCUCAACAGUGAGGUAAAAAAGAGGCAUAAAGGAGGCCAAGAAGACCACCGUGGUGAAGCAUGAAAGUAAAGGAGAUUUUUAGCAAUGAAGACAGAGUGUCCUGAGGUUUUAUUCUUAUGCACGAGACCCAGAUUUCCUGGAAGAGCCCCUCCUAAAGGUUUGGCUCUGCACAAGCUCCAAUAUUCCUACUAAAUUAUAUCACAGGAGCAGAGACUGGAAGAUUGUUUGGAUCUCAUUGAGUGAGUUGCUUCUAUUGCCCAUUCCACAAAUUAUCUGCUUCCUGCUAAUCCCCUCAUUUGCAGAUUCGGCAAACAAACACGGCUUCUGUGUGGAUUUCCAAAAAAGUAGGCAGAAGAGAAAAGAGUAGGACUCAUGACAGAGCUGUUACAUUCCAGCAAACACAUGAAGCAUUGCAUCCCAAAGAGGCCACAGACUAAGCCUUAGUAAUAAGGCAUCCAAACUCUGUUACAAACAUGUGGAGAGCUAUUCUGGACCUUUGCUUCUGAAGUAAAAUCUAACUGUUACUUGGUCUCCACAAACAGAAGGCAAACUAUUUAGUUUGCUUUGAAUAUGAAAUGGAAAUUGGAAAAAAAGUCCAAGACCAGAUGAAUUUACAGCUGACUUCUACCAUAUGUACAAAGAAGAGCUGGUGCCAUUUCUACUGAAACUGUUUCAAAAAAUUGAGAAGGGACUCCUCCAUCUCAUUCUAUGAGGCCAGCAUUAUCCUGAUAUUAAAACCUGGCAGAGACACAACAAAAAAGAAAACUUCAGGCCAAUAUCCUCGAUCAACAUUGAUGUAAAUAUCUUCAAUAAAAUAAUAGCAAACUAAAUCUAGCAGCACAUCAAAAAACUAAUCCACCAUGAUCAAGUAGGCUUUAUUCCUGGGAUGCAAUGUUGGUUUAACAUGAAGAUCAAUAAAUGUGAUUCAUCACAUAAACAGAACUAAAGACAAAAACAACAUAAUUACCUUAACAGAUGCAGAAAAAGCUUUUGAUAAAAUUCAACAUGUUAAAACUUCAUGUUAAAAACUCUCAAUAAACUAAGUAUUGAAGGAACAUACCUCAAAACAAUAAUACCCAUCUAGGACAAGCCCACAGCCAACAUCAUACUGAAUGACCAAAAGGUGGAAGCAUUCCCCUUGAAAACUGGCACAAGACAAAGAUGCCCUCUCUCACCACUCCAAUUCAACAUAGUAUUGGAAGUGCUGCCAGGGUAAUCAGGAAAGAGAAAGAAAUAAAGGGCAUCCAAAUAGGAAAAGAGGAAGUCAAACUAUUCCUGUUUGCAGACAGUGUGACUGUAUAUCUAGAAAACCCUAUAAUUUCAGCCCAAAAGAUCCUUCAGCUGAUGAACAACGUCAGCAAAGUUUGAGGACACAAAAUCAAUGUACAAAAAUCACUAGCUUUCCUAUACACCACCAACAGCCAAGCCAAGAGCCAAAUCAGGAAGGCAAUCCCAUUCACAAUUGCUACAAAAAGAAUAAAAUAUCUAGGAAUACACCUAACCAGGGAGGUGAAAUAUCUUUAUAAUGAGAAUUACAAAACACUGCUCAAAGAAAUCAGAGAAGACACAAACAUGGAAAAACAUUCCAUGCUCAUGGAUCAGAAGAAUCAAUAUCAUUAAAACAGCCAUACUGCCCAAAGCAAUUUAUAGAUCCAAUGCUAUUCCUAUCAAACUAACAAUGACAUUCUUUACAGAACUAGAAGAAAAACUUUUAAAAUGCUUAUGGAACCAAAAUAGAGCCCGAAUAGCCAAGCAAAAAGAACAAAGCUGGAGGUAUCACACUACCUGACUUCAAACUAUACUCAGUGCUACAGUAACCAAAACAGCAUGGUAUUGGUACAAAAACAGCCACAUAAACCAAUGAAACAGAAUAGAGAGCCCAGAAACAAGGCUUCACACCUAUAGCCAACUGAUUUUUGACCAAGCUGACAAAGACAAGCAAUGGAGAAAGGAUUCCCCAUUUAAUUAAUGGUCCUGGGAUAGCUUUUUAGUGAUAUGCAAAAGAUCGAAAUUGGACCUCUUUCUUACACCAUAUACAAAGGUGGAUUAAAGACUUAAAUGUAAAACCCAAAACUAUAAAAAACCCUGGAAGACAACCUGGGCAAUACCAUUCUGGAUACAGGAACUGGCAAAGAUUUCAUGAGGAGGACACCAAAAGCAAUUGCAACAAAAGUAAAAAUUGACAAAUGGGAUAUAAUUAAAGAGCUUCUGCACAGCAAAAGAAACUGUCAACAGAGUAAACAGAAAUCCUACAUAAUGAGAGAAAGUAUUUGCAAACUAUACAUCUGACAAAGACCUAAUAUCCAGCAUCUAUAAGAAACUUAAACAGAUUUACAAGAAAAAACAAAUAACCUUCUUAAAAAGUGGGCAAAAGACAUGAACAGACACUUUUCAAAGUAAGACAUACAUGUGGGCAAAGGACAUGAACAGACACUUUUCAAAGUAAGACAUACAUGUAGCCAAAAAACCAUAUAAAAAGAAAGCUCAAUAUCUGAUCAGUAGAGAAAUGCAAAUCAAAACCACAAUGAGAUACCAUCUCAAACAAGUCAAAAUGGCUACCAUUCAAAAGUCAAAAAAUAACAGAUGCUGGUGAGAUUACAGAGAAAAAGGAACACUUAUACACUGUUGGUGGGAGUAUGAAUUAGUUCAGUCAUUGUAGAAAGCAGUGUGGUGAUUCCUCAAAGAGAUAAAAACAGAACUACCAUUUGACCCAGAAAUCCCAUUACUGGUUAUAUAACCAAAGCAAUAUAAAUUGUUGCAUCAUAAAGACACAUGCACACAUAUGUUUAUUGCAGCACUAUUCACAAUAACAAAGACAUAGAAUCGACCUAAAUGUCCAUCAAUGGUAGACUGCAUAAUGAAAAUGUGGUACGUAUGCACCAUGGAAUACUACGUAGCCAUAAGAAAGAAUGAAAUCAUGUCCUUUGCAGCAACAUGGAUCGAGCUGGAGGUCAUUAUCCUUAACAAGCUAAUGCAGGAACAGAAAAUCAAAUACCACAUGUUCUCACUUAUAAGUGGGAGCUAAAUGAUGAGAACUCAUGAACACAAAGAGGGGAACAACAGACACUGGGGCCUAUCAGAGGGUGAAGGUUAGGAGGAGGGAGAGGAUCAGAAAAAAUAACUAUGGUAUACUAGGUGACAAAAUUAUUUGUACACCAAACCCCCAUGACAUGCAGUUUACCUAUGUAACAAACCUGCACGUAUACCUCUGAAUCUAAAAUAAA